AAGAUCAUACUACACAGAAUCAUUUCUGCAGUAUGUAUUUCACAGUCCCAACGAAAAUUUUUUCUACCACGGAUCUCCCUCAUACGACGGA
rnacentral:snoRNA from 1 species